rnacentral:lncRNA from 1 species
UUAAAAAAAAGUAUUGUAACAUUUUUUUAAUUUUCCUCCCCAAUAUUGCCAAAAAUUAAAGAAAUAUAAACAUUUGUCUCCAAUUUCAAUUUCAGCUUGGGUCAACUGUACUCCGCAGUUACCAUUUCAUCUCAAAAUCGGGAGCUUUAGUUUCUUCACUGUCCACCGUCCGCAAUUUCAAUUUCUUCGCUAUCCCCAAUUUCAAUUAAAGAAAUCGAUUCACUGUGCUCCGACUUCAUUUAGUUUAAUUUCUUCAAAAAGUCAAAAAGUCCGACCACUGUGCUUCGACUUCAUUAUGUUCUGACGCUGCUGCUCCGACUUCAGUUUUCAAAUUUGCACUUCAUCUUUAUGUAAGUUAUUUUGAAUACUCUUUUGUAUUUUGUGUACUUCAUCUUAAUUUGUUGUGUCUGAUUUCUUAUGUGGGUUUUGAGCUAAGGGUAUUUUGAAAACAUCUAUACCUCCUCGAGAUAGGAGUUAAGUCUGUGUACACCCUACUACCACACUGAUCCAGCCCAUUUUCAUACUAAUUCUAUCACUUAAAAUACUAUCGUUGGUAAUUUUUUGAUCUAUAUAUGCCAAAACAACACAAAGAGAAGCUGAGAGGGAGCUCCUGGCUCAUAAUGGUGUUUGGCUUGAACCUUCAUUUGUGUAUCUAGCUUCUAUAACCACGAAGUUGCCUGCUGAAGCUUGAAUUGGUUAUGAUAUCCUUCCUAGAGCCUUGGCUAAUGCAGGAUGCUUUAUCUAUCAAGUUGAAAAAACUUCUAUGUCGGGUACUACUGGUUAACAAGAUAGUAGUGGGGGCAUUCUUUGGCAAAGUUAAGAACAAGGUAACCAUUACUCUAUUUUAUAUGAAUAUAAAUACAAGUGAACGAUAUCUUGAUGUAGCUUUUUAAAUAUUCUUUCUUGAGAUAUAGCUUAGAGUAGUAAUAUGGGCAAAGGGUAAAACUAUUGCAAAGAUCAAUUUUCAUUCAUUGGACUUCUACCACUCCAUGUAAAUAAGACUGUAGACUGUAGUACUUCUAAUGAUCAGGCAUUAGCAAAUUUUAGUUAGAUUGUUCCAUGACUAAAUGAACAAGAAAUACACUUGGCUCUCAAGAAAUACAUCCUAAAGAACUAAAGAAAAUAGAUAGAGAAGGAUAUAUACAUGUACAUAAUACAACUAUAACGUACAUCCAGUGGCAACAAAAAACUCAAUCUUAAACAAUUUUAAAACCAAUUAAGGUUCUUACAACACUUGAAGAUAGACCAUUAGAGUGUUGAAUACAGAAGUUUCAAGUCUAGAUAAGCCAAGCCUCUGAAACAAUCUAUAUCUUCCAUAUUCAACAAUAGGACUCUGUGCACGAGCUAGAUCAUAUCUCGUCUGAUGAGUAAGUGAAGUACCAGUAUUGAUGUUUUCCUCAGAUGUGUGUAGUGCAUGUUGUAUAUUUAAAUAUUGACAAGAAAAAAUUACUCUAUAUAUAGGAGAAUGCAUGUUGAUAAUAAAGAAGUAUGAGACGAGUAUUUUAUUCCACAGUAAUUACUAAACUCAUUUUCUCAUCUUGCUCCAAUAGCUACCAACUCAUCAGAUAGUGAAGUGGUUGUGGCCAUAGUGUCAUUUCCUGAUUACAACCAUCUGAAUCAGCUUUUUGUUCUUGCUCACUUCAUCGUGUCCCAUAAUAUACCAGUAUACUUUCUCUCCCUUACUGAUCAGAACUAAGAUUUGGAACUCCACGUCUAAGGUGGUCUCGGAGCCUCAAACAUCCAAAUGAAAAUAUACGUUUCGUAAUCAAUAUCACUUUUAUUUACUUAGUUUUAUGUCAUUUCAUUGAUAAUUCUUAUAUACAAGAACUAUUUGGACAUGUGCGAAUAGGCUGGGAUUGUUUUCUUCAAGUUUCUUGUUCAAAAAUAAGUAAAAUUUGGGGAGGUAAAAAUCGAAGAAUAACUCUUGGAAAGUUGUAGUUGAAAUUAGGUGACCCUGUCUAUUUUUAUUUAUUUAUGUUCUUACUUUUUUAGUUCCCCAUAAUUUACGAUGAGCAUAAGAUGAAAUUUUGAGGCAACCUUUCAUCAUCUAAGCAAAGACAUAUAUUGGAAGGUUGUAGUUGAAAGGUUUUCCCCAAUAGGGUAUGGUAGAUGAGCUGUUAGUUUUAGAAAUUGGGGGUCUGAAUUAGGAAGAAAACGUGGCUCUAAAAGUUUUGAAUAGCGAAGUAAUCUAGUAUGGAUAUGAAUCAUGAAUUUAAUAUUUGAGAAUACAGAAAACAGACUGUAAAUGUCGGGUGAAAGUGGUAGAGAAAUGGAUUCGCUGUAUUCUACUUAAAUUUUAGAGGAUAUAUAAUGAAUUGAGUUUACAAAAAACUACAUAAACUUUCAAAUAUGGGAUGUGACAGAAGUACCAUUACUGAUACAUCUGUUAAUCACAUUAGAGCUUACUGCAUGAAUAACCAUGAUUUUUCUCUUCGAUAUGAUAGACCAUCUUUGAUGAUGAAGAGAUUUAAGAGGAUCUCAAGUCCAAUUUCACUUAUGCUCUUGCACCUACACUAAUGUGGAAUAAAAGUGUAGUUACAGUUGUUUUUUUUCUUACUCGACACUUUUUGUAUUGGAAGUAUAGUUACCUAUCUUGAUGUUUGUUAUCUUCACUUUUGACUUCUCAACUUCUUAGAGUGACUGUCGUCUUGGUUAUAUGGAUUAGUAGGUUCCAAUUGCACCAUUUAAAUUCCAACAUUAUAAUUUAAUUGUUCUACAUCAUUCUUUUUUUUUUGCCCUAUUGGUGGGGUUUAUGGGGAGGGGGAGGGGGAUUAUCAGGGGUGCCCUCAAUGACUAAGCUUAAGAUUUGAAGCGAAUGGGCAGAGAAUGAAGCAAGAUUUAAAGUUUAUGAGGUUAUUAGCUUAUUGUAUUCUAAAUUAGUGAACCUAUUCACAAUGCGUCACCUAUCUCAGACGAUUUGAUUUCACUCUUGUUGUCUUUUGAACUCAUCUUCUCUACCAACAGUUCAAGGUUUUGCAUUUUUAGAACUAGCUACUAGCUUGGUAGGAUAUGUUGUUAACUUUCCAAAAUAGGUUAUCGAUACCUUAGAUUUGAUCUUUAGUAGUUCAAGUCCCUUCUUUGUUGUGUAUUACUUCCCGUUUGCAAAUUGUUUUGAUGGAAUUUGUGUAAGCUGAGUGUAUAGGAAUCUCUAGGACCAAAAUUCUGAAAUUGUCAAUAUUUUAAGGACUAAAAAUAUAUAUUUUUAAAUAGUAUAACUCAAUUGGAUAAUGAUUUAUAAUCAUUAAAACAUCAGUUGGUAGCUUCAGUGCAAUAUAUUUGAGUUUGACAUUUAAAAGAGCAAACAUGAUAUUCAAUUUUUUAUAACUGCAAUAUUUACCAUCUUUUGAGGAGUAUUUGUUUUUACUAUGUCAUGGUAGUUUUCAUUAUUAUAUUUACAUUUUAAUCUACAAACAGGGGAUUGAGUAAAAUAUACUAGACCUUCUAGUGUUGUUAAAGCCAAUAACAGGUUAGUUCCUUACAUGGCAUAUAUCUAAAGUAUUUAUUUUUUUGAUAUCGUAAAUAAUGAAAAUCUUAAUGCUUCAAAAGUCGUAAGUUUUGCCAAUUAGGUGGUAAAUUUUAUUAGAGUGGAUUAAUCUUCCCUGCCGAAUUUUUUAGCCACUUCAUCUAAUUCAAAAUCAUAAAAUGUUACAACUAUAUAUUAAUGAUAGUAGAAAAGCAAUAGUUAAAAGAGUGUAAAAAAUAUGCAUAAUAAGUUUAAUAUUUGAAUAGUUAAAAUUACUUAUAAUUUGUAAAAUUUCUAGAUAAAGGUUAGAAGUACCAGUGUUUCAAUUCUAAUGCAAAUUAGAGCAACACACCCCAAAUACUAGCAUUAAGGUGUGAGAGAUCAAAACUACAAAAUCGCAAUAUCAGCUCCCCACCACACUCGGUAGUCAUCGACCUCGAUAGCUCCAUUUGGGUAGCUUUCACUUUACCACAAGUAGGUAGCUCUUAGCCAGAUAGGCCUUCACGGUACGAUGUGCACAGAGAAUGAUGUAUGGCUUUGAUAUCAUUAAUACAAACUUAUGAGAACCACACCCCAUAAGGUAGCUACUUAGGUGGGAGUACCCAAGGUUAUAUAAGACCUACAUUAACUCCCCAUUUAACCUAGGUGGGACUUUUUGUAAUAGGAUCAUAACAAUUAUCUAGAAAAAGCACUAAAAAGUUAAGUUAAAUACUAACUUUUCUAUAGAAUUUGAGUAGGAUUUAAUUACAUACACGAACCUGUCUUAAAAAAAUAGUUCCACGAGUUGUAAAAGGGAACUUUUCCCCACAACUAUUUUAGAAGGUUACCGCGCUUAGUAUCUAAAAUUGUUGUAUCAUCCAGAACUAGAAGAACCAUACCGCCCAAAUCAUUCAGAUUGAAACGAAGAUGUUGAAUAAGAGUCACCAUAACGUGAAAAGAAACCAAAUCCAGGCUCACGCAUCCCAUACAUGCUCGGGCCUGAUUCUUUGUGGUUGCUAAUGAACUCUUGCACAAAAAUAAGUGAAUACAGAAUUAUAAGCUAGCUAGGUUCUUCUUUUAUCAAUAUUUUUAUCCUUUAACAUUUUGUUUCUCCCAAUGUUUUAACGAUACAUAUGGAGCCGACAUAAACCUAUAACGAGGAGACCUCGAAGUAGUGAUAAAUCAGAAAAGGGACAAGAUAUGAACGAAUAAUUUCUAAUACCUAACUAAGAGUUUUGGUUUUGAUUGUACAUCUAUCUCUAAUUUAUUUAGAUAAAAGUGUUUAAAAACUAAUCAAUUUAAUCAGAAUAUUAGUAACAAUGAUUUUGCUUAUAAUACUAAUUUAAGUUUGAUGUACUGGUGCAGAAUAGUAGUGAAUUCAAAUCAAAUAAAUCAUAACAAGUUGAAAGUCCUAGAUUUCCUCUAAUACUCCAACUAUCAAUAGAAUGCGGACGAUGAGAUUUACUCUUGUUUGCACUUGGAUGAUCUAUGGUGAUACCAAAAAUGAAUAGUUCAUUGGAUAAAAAGAGUCACCUGCAAUUGAUCAUUGUUAAACAAAAUUGAAACAAUCUAUAAAGAUUAGAGAAAACAGCUUGUACAGUAUAAACACCUAAGUUUUUUUUUUUAUUUCUAUGGUGUACAAUGCACUUGGAAUAAAAUCCAGGCAAGUGCAAAGUUAGUUUUAGGAACUCAAUAUUGCACUGUAUGAUGAUACAUUAUUGACUUCCAGGUAUUUGAGUGGGCCAUAAGUCCAUCUUCUAUUUAAGAUCAGAGUUGAUAGGUUUGGGAGGCUGAGUUCAUACAUCUAGAUUUUAUUGCUUGGGAGGCUAUUAGGUUAUCCAAACUAUUAGAAUGUAUUUGUACGCGAUCUUAGGUGUAUUUAUACGCCUAAGCACCAUAACUUAUCCAUGUUUUAGCUAAGUUUACAGAACAAAAUUAGUGUUUAAAAACUAAUCAAUUUAAUCAGAAUAUUAGUAACAAUGAUUUUGCUUAUAAUACUAAUUUAAGUUUGAUGUACUGGUGCAGAAUAGUAGUGAAUUCAAAUCAAAUAAAUCAUAACAAGUUGAAAGUCCUAGAUUUCCUCUAAUACUCCAACUAUCAAUAGAAUGCGGACGAUGAGAUUUACUCUUGUUUGCACUUGGAUGAUCUAUGGUGAUACCAAAAAUGAAUAGUUCAUUGGAUAAAAAGAGUCACCUGCAAUUGAUCAUUGUUAAACAAAAUUGAAACAAUCUAUAAAGAUUAGAGAAAACAGCUUGUACAGUAUAAACACCUAAGUUUUUUUUUUUAUUUCUAUGGUGUACAAUGCACUUGGAAUAAAAUCCAGGCAAGUGCAAAGUUAGUUUUAGGAACUCAAUAUUGCACUGUAUGAUGAUACAUUAUUGACUUCCAGGUAUUUGAGUGGGCCAUAAGUCCAUCUUCUAUUUAAGAUCAGAGUUGAUAGGUUUGGGAGGCUGAGUUCAUACAUCUAGAUUUUAUUGCUUGGGAGGCUAUUAGGUUAUCCAAACUAUUAGAAUGUAUUUGUACGCGAUCUUAGGUGUAUUUAUACGCCUAAGCACCAUAACUUAUCCAUGUUUUAGCUAAGUUUACAGAACAAAAUUAGUGUUUAAAAACUAAUCAAUUUAAUCAGAAUAUUAGUAACAAUGAUUUUGCUUAUAAUACUAAUUUAAGUUUGAUGUACUGGUGCAGAAUAGUAGUGAAUUCAAAUCAAAUAAAUCAUAACAAGUUGAAAGUCCUAGAUUUCCUCUAAUACUCCAACUAUCAAUAGAAUGCGGACGAUGAGAUUUACUCUUGUUUGCACUUGGAUGAUCUAUGGUGAUACCAAAAAUGAAUAGUUCAUUGGAUAAAAAGAGUCACCUGCAAUUGAUCAUUGUUAAACAAAAUUGAAACAAUCUAUAAAGAUUAGAGAAAACAGCUUGUACAGUAUAAACACCUAAGUUUUUUUUUUUAUUUCUAUGGUGUACAAUGCACUUGGAAUAAAAUCCAGGCAAGUGCAAAGUUAGUUUUAGGAACUCAAUAUUGCACUGUAUGAUGAUACAUUAUUGACUUCCAGGUAUUUGAGUGGGCCAUAAGUCCAUCUUCUAUUUAAGAUCAGAGUUGAUAGGUUUGGGAGGCUGAGUUCAUACAUCUAGAUUUUAUUGCUUGGGAGGCUAUUAGGUUAUCCAAACUAUUAGAAUGUAUUUGUACGCGAUCUUAGGUGUAUUUAUACGCCUAAGCACCAUAACUUAUCCAUGUUUUAGCUAAGUUUAGAGAACAAAAUUCCUAGUUUCUUAUGUUUUUACUCUACUUCUAUGUAAUUGAUCUAACCGAUAUGAUUAGCAUGAUUUUAGGCAUUAAUGAGGUAGAUGAAGACAUAAUGGGACUAUGGAAUGCGGAUGACAUAUGACACAAGAGAGAGUAGCAGUUUGGACCAAAUGUGGCGCCUAAAAACUAUGUCCAAGACUAGUUUGUUAUUUAUAAUUUGUUCAGGGACUUAGAAGGCAAUUAUGAGAGAAAAGAUUAUUAAAAGGCUUAAUGCUGAAUUUUUAUUCAUUAUUGGAUUAUUAUGCAUUAGUUUUUGAAGAGGGAGAGUGGUGGCUUAGCUUGGAGAGAGAGAAAAAUAUUUUUCUCUUGUUCUUACAAUUCGCACACCAAGAUCAUCUUGUAGUUUUUGGUAUGAUGAAUAUUUCUAUUGUGAUUUUCGUUUUAUUCAUGAGUAGCUAAGUUUAUUAGUUAGGGUUAGACUUGUA